rnacentral:lncRNA from 1 species
GGGCAUAGUUACCUCAGUUUUUUUUGGAGAUCCCUCUUGAAAAACACAAAGCAAUUAAAAGAUCCACUAUAUGAUACAGUAAAAUUGUAUGGAGUACUAACCUUUACAUUCAUCAAGUGCAUGAGAAUAAUGUUUCCUAUACAAAUUUUACUUUUCAACUAUAAAUUUCUCUCAUUAAGCAAACUAGAUUUCAAAAACUGAGAUAUCAAAUAAUUUGAGACCAACACUGAAAAGUUAGACCUUCCUUCCCCUGGCUAGCUUCGUCUUAAUACCAAGCUAUCUCACAAAUUAUAGACUAGCCUUCCUGCACGCGCGAUGCAUGUGCGAAAGGUCCGCGCUCACGCGUGCGUUUUGGUUUUUUUGUGUUUCAUUAUUAUGUCUCAUAGUUCAUAUAUAUUGUAGCUACUUUCAGUGGUAGAAAUAUAGAAAUUUGGCAACCCUUGAUCCACAUUUUUAUAUAUAUAACAAAGUACAGUUAAAAAGAGGUAUACAACAACCUUAUCUCUUUUGAAAACAGAAUUACGUUGAACAAAAAACUAAAAGAGCAUAAAAUAAAGUGCAAAUACAACUGGAAAAAUACUGUAGAAACUGGAGUGAAGAUUUAAAACGGAAGAGAAAAUACAACUAAAAAAAAUACUUUGGAAACCCGAGUGAAGAUUUAAAACGGAAGAAAACAGAUGAAUCUGGGAAAUAUAAGCAAUAAUCAUGAGUAGCUUAGCAAACAAAACCAAAACAUGGUUAAAGACAUAUACAUGAACUCCAAAUGUAAGACUUCUCCAAAGUUGCAUUAUGCAUUAUAAGACCUCCAAAUGUAAAUAUUAUACAACAUAUGUAAUUAAACCAAGGCAUAGCUUUUCAUAGCUCAUGGACGUACUCAAAGAUGUAUCACAUA